rnacentral:rRNA from 1 species
GCCAGCACCCAUAUCACCCUGCUCUCAACUGGCUACCUGUUAAAGGUAAGCAGGGUUGAGUCUGGUCAGUACCUGGAUGGGAGACCUCCUGGGAAGCUAUGGCUAUGCUGCUGGAA